AACGAACGCUGGCGGCAGGCUUAACACAUGCAAGUCGAGCGCCCUGCAAGGGGAGCGGCAGACGGGUGAGUAACGCGUGGGAAUCUACCUUGAACUACGGAAUAGCUCUGGGAAACUGGAAUUAAUACCGUAUACGCUCUACGGGGGAAAGAUUUAUCGGGGAAGGAUUGGCCCGCGUUGGAUUAGCUAGUUGGUGGGGUAAAGGCCUACCAAGGCGACGAUCCAUAGCUGGUCUGAGAGGAUGAUCAGCCACAUUGGGACUGAGACACGGCCCAAACUCCUACGGGAGGCAGCAGUGGGGAAUAUUGGACAAUGGGCGCAAGCCUGAUCCAGCCAUGCCGCGUGAGUGAUGAAGGCCUUAGGGUUGUAAAGCUCUUUCACCGAUGAAGAUAAUGACGGUAGUCGGAGAAGAAGCCCCGGCUAACUUCGUGCCAGCCGCCGCCGUAAAAC
rnacentral:rRNA from 1 species